UCGAAGCACUUUACAUUGCACAGAGGGAGGCGACCAUUCCCUAAUUUUCCCAUCCAGCCAGUAGCCGCAGAAACACCCAGAGGGGAAUAUUUCAAAGCUUUGUUCAGAGGUGGAAUCAGUUUUCGACCAGUCGCAACUAUGUCUGGGCAUUCUUAUCAAGGCAAAAAGAAUAUUCCAAAGAUCACAAGCGACAGGCUUCUGGUCAAAGGCGGGAGGAUCGUUAAUGAUGACCAGUCCUUUUAUGCCGACAUUUACAUGGAGGAUGGCGUCAUUAAGCAGAUUGGAGACAACCUGAUUGUCCCAGGUGGGAUCAAGACCAUUGAGGCCAACGGCAAGAUGGUGAUCCCCGGGGGCAUUGACAACCACACCCACUUCCAGAUGCCCUACCGGGGGACCACCACCGUGGACGACUUCUCCCAGGGCACCAAGGCUGCCCUGGCUGGGGGAACCACCAUGAUCGUGGAUCAUGUGAUCCCGGAGCCAGGCAGCAGUCUGAUCGAGGCCUUUGAGCAGUGGAGGAGCUGGGCCGAUGAGAAGACCUGCUGUGACUACUCCCUCCAUGUGGACAUCACCCACUGGAGCGACAGUGUCAAGCAGGAGGUGGACACACUGCUCAAGGAAAAAGGUGUGAACUCCUUCCAGGUCUACAUGGCCUAUAAGGACUUCUACCAGAUGAGCAACAGUGAGCUGUAUGAGAUCUUUACCUUCCUGGGAGAGAUGGGUGGCAUUGUGCAGGUCCAUGCUGAGAAUGGAGAGAUCAUCGCCGAGGAGCAGGCACGCAUGCUGGAGAUGGGCAUCACUGGACCAGAGGGACACGUGCUGAGCAGGCCAGAGGAGCUGGAGGCAGAGGCUGUGUUCCGCGCCAUCACCAUUGCCAGCCAGACCAACUGCCCCCUGUAUGUGACCAGGGUCAUGAGCAAGAGUGCUGCCGACAUCAUCUCACAGUCCAGGAAAAAAGGUAACGUUGUUUUCGGCGAGCCAAUCACGGCCAGCCUUGGGACUGACGGGACACACUAUUGGAGCAAGAACUGGGCCAAGGCUGCCUCCUUUGUGACAUCACCCCCCCUCAGCCCGGACCCCACCACCCCAGACUACCUGAACACAUUACUGGCCAGUGGUGACCUGAAUGUGACUGGCAGUGCCCACUGCACCUUCAGCGUGGCCCAGAAGGCCAUAGGGAAGGAUGACUUCACUCAGAUCCCUGAGGGUGUGAACGGAGUGGAGGAGAGGAUGUCCCUCAUCUGGGAGAAGGCUGUGACCACUGGCAAGAUGGACGAGAACAUGUUUGUUGCUGUGACGAGCACCAACGCCGCCAAGAUCCUAAACCUGUACCCCCGUAAGGGACGGAUAGCUGUGGGCUCCGAUGCUGACCUGGUCAUUUGGGACUCAGAUGCUGUCCGCACCAUCACCGCCAAGACGCACAACUCGGCUGCUGAGUACAAUGUGUUUGAGGGCAUGGAGCUCCGUGGUGCCCCCUCGGUGGUGAUCUGCCAGGGGAAGCUGGUGCUGGAGGAUGGGAACCUGCACGCCAUCUCCGGGGUCGGCCGCUUCAUCCCCUGCACCCCCUUCCCGGACUUUGCUUACAAGCGCGUCAAGGCCAGGAAGCAGUUGGCAGUCCUGCGGGCAGUGCCCAGGGGCAUGUAUGACGGUCCUGUGUCUGACUUCUCGCCCCUGUCUCCCUCUCUCUCAGUUGGCAGUCCUGCGGGCAGUGCCCAGGGGCAUGUAUGAUGGUCCUGUGUCUGACUUCUCGCCCAUGUCUCGUGGCGGUACCCCCUCAGCGUCUGCCCGUACCUCCCCCACCAAGCAGCCUGUGAGGAACCUGCACCACUCCGGCUUUAGCUUAGCAGGUAAACCUGCACAGCGUGGUCCCCCCACCACAGAGGAUGUCCCCAUCCGGCCAGCCGGACGCCGCAUCGUAGUUCCCCCUGGUGGUCGCUCCAACAUCACAUCCCUCAGCUAAGAGGUUUAACCAGGAGAGAUACCAGUCAGAAGAUGACAACAGCCAUUGGGAGACGACGGAGACAUGAUUAGUUAAAACAAGUUAAGUUGAGUAAAACACUGAAUCCUCAUGCCUUACCAGCCACAAUGCUACCUGCUUAAGCUUCUAAAAGCUCAGUACUACUCCUCCUAGGGAAUUGCAGGUCAGUCACUAAAACAAAAUAUGAAUUUAAAGUACAUUUGUUUACCAAAAGAUUGGGUUUGUAUGCUCUGGAAUAACAGGAGUAUGUUCAUAACCAGAAUAUAGGUGAUCAAUUUGUACUACUGUCCCUCAUUGUCUACGUUAGUAAUUGUGUCAACUCUGUAUUGACAUUUUAGGCAAUACUCUGAAUCCAUAAUAUAGUUAAAUAAACCUCAUGAUACCAAUUUCCACAGUGUUCUGAUGCUUGUUACCUAGGAAAAGUAAUACGGCCUUUUUCUUCCAUCAUGUUUGGCUUUCACCCUUUUUGAGUACUGCUGAUUUAGUUCCCUAGCGAUGUAAUGAUAACAUGCAGUAACGUCCAUAACUGAUAGGUGGCAUUGUGAGUACGUAUGAUUGAUGUAACGUAGCUUUGUGAAUGAUGUUGCUCGCUGCCUCCCUGGGUUGUUGAACCAGGAGUGAUAGUCAUUAGAGAUUGUCUUGUUUCUUAUUUUUCUUGAAGAUAAAAACUUAUCUGGUAUUACAAUAUUAUUUUGCAAACAUGCAACAGCAUAUUAUUAGGUAGAAAUGGUUGUCAUGUUUAAUUUCCCCCCUGCGCUCCGCUCCACUUCAUCCUGGCUGUAGAUUAACAUUGUGAGAAACCGUCCUUUGCAUUUGCUUCAAGCUUAAUGCCUGUUCCUAUUCAUACCUUUUAGCAAGUCAUCUGGAUGGUUAAAAAAACAUGUAACCCUUGCACAAGAAGUAAAACCAAGCUUAACUUCCAUGGCCUGGGUCGUGAAAUUGUAAUUAUGAGCUUUGUGAACAAUAAUACAUAAAAAAAAAUGUUUAUGAUAAAAGUAACAAACCUUUGAAAUCACAGUAAUUUACCUCUGGCUUUAUUUCUAUUUUCCUGACAAUGUGGGCUCUCGUUUUGAAGCAACAGACCAUCAUUCCCUGCAUUCAACAACAUAACAUUGAACGAUAAUGUUGUGCUGGUUUAAAUCGCAACACUCCGAGAGAGUCCCCACAAUGCUGUACACUUUAGCUGACUGACAGCCCUUGGUUUGGUAACUAACUAACUAACUAACACCAAGGGGAGGACAGACCGGCGUAACCCUGGGUCACUCUCUUUAAGAGUCAUUUUCUAUGCUUCUGGUCUGUCUACCUGUCCCAGACAAGGCAGGGGAUUGUAUGUUUUUAGAAUGAGGCUAGGAGGAGGAGGAUGAGGAGAGCUUUAUUUUUGCUCUCCCAAUCAGCUGAGGAAGAGGUCGUGAGGAGGUCGUUGUUUUUUAUUGAGUGAUGAUGUGGAAUUUCAAGCAAUCCAAGUGGUGAUUAUAUUUAUGUUAGUUUGACUUGAUCUUUUUUAUAGUUUUUAUGUAUUUUUUUUACUGUUGUAUCAAAACCCAGAGAAGGCAGGUCAAAACAACAUUGAGGUGUGAUGUGGUGGUAUGAACUGUUCCUGAAUAAACAUUCAGUUGCAACUGA